rnacentral:rRNA from 1 species
UACGUAGGGGGCGAGCGUUGUCCGGAAUCAUUGGGCGUAAAGAGCGUGUAGGUGGACUGGAAGGUUCGUGGUGUAGCAAGGCCCGGGCUACCACCCGGAGGGUCACUGGAAACCAACAGUCUUGAGUCUGGAAGAGGAGAGUGGAAUUCCUGGUGUAGCGGUGGAAUGCGCAGAUAUCAGGAGGAACACCAAUGGCGAAGGCAGCUCUCUGGUACAUGACUGACACUGAGACGCGAAAGCGUGGGGAGCGAACAGG